UUGCGACGGCAGCACAUACACUAAAAUUGGAAUGAUACAGAAAAGGUUUGCAUGACCUUUGUACAAGGAUGACACGUAAAGUCGUGAAGUGUAUGUCGCAUUG